CGGAGGAAGGUGGGGAUGACGUCAAGCCAUCAUGCCCCUUAUGUCCAGGGCUUCACGCAUGCUACAAUGGCCGGUACAAUGGGCUGCGAUACCGUGAGGUGGAGCGAAUCCCAAAAAGCCGGUCUCAGUUCGGAUCGGGGUCUGCAACUCGACCCCGUGAAGUCGGA
rnacentral:rRNA from 1 species